AGAUUGAACGCUGGCGGCAUGGCUAAAACAUGCAAGUCGAACGUGCUCGCAAGAGCAAGUGGCGAAAGGGUCAGUAAUGCGAUCGAACGUACCCCGAGGUGGGGGAUAGGGCGGGGAAACUCGCCAUAAUACCCCAUGAUGUCUACGGACCAAAGGUUUACCGCCUUGGGAGCGGCGAUCGUCCUAUCAGGUAGUUGGUGAGGUAACGGCUCACCAAGCCGAAGACGGGUAGCAGGUGUGAGAGCACGACCUGCGACAUCGGGACUGAGACACUGCCCGGACUUCUACGGAAGGCUGCAGUAACGAAUCUUCCGCAAUGGGCGAAAGCCUGACGGAGCAAUGCCGCGUGUGGGAUGAAGCGGCUACGCCGUGUAAACCACUGUCAGGGGGCAGGAACAAUGACCGCCCCAGAGGAGAGCCGGCUAACCCUGCGCCAGCAGCCGC
rnacentral:rRNA from 1 species